AUCCAUCUGAUGAGUCCCCAACAGAACGAAAUGCACGUUAUCCUGGAU
rnacentral:hammerhead_ribozyme from 1 species